GGGUUAUGUACUCUUUGUAUCACUAAUCUGCGGUUAUGAGUUCUGUACAUGGGGACCACUGAUCCAAGUGUUUUUUGUGGAUUUCAUGUCAAGUUCCAGCCAGUAUUUACUGUGUCCCUGUCCUCUACCACACACACACUAAGAUGAGAUAUGCUCUGUUUUUGGAAACAAGUCAUUUGCACUUUGAUUACAUGUGUAUGGUACUAUGCUGCAAUAGAAAGCAAAAAUCUGGAACUUGCAUGCUUUGCGGGUGAUUGUAAGAAUGUGUAUGUGUGUGUUUGUUUGUUUGUUGCUACGGUGACCUAAUAGUACUGCCAACCAACAUCACUUCUACAUGUCUGCGCGUUCCGUGGACAUAAAGCACUGUGUGAGCUGCUGAUAAAAAAUGGUGUCGACGUUAAUGUCCAAGAUGAGGAUGGUGGGACACCAUUCCACUUUGCAGCAUCCGGAGGUCAUGUGUCCGUAAUAGAAUGUCUGUUGAAUGCUGGACAUCCAUUGGAAGCGAAAACUUCGUUUGGUGGGACACCACUCCACCUUGCAGCAUCCGGAGGUCAUGUGUCCGUACUAGAAUGUCUGUUGAAUGCUGGACAUCCGUUGGAAGCGAAAGAUUCGUUUGGUAGCACACCAUUACAUCUUGCAGCAACGUAUGGUCAUGUUUCUGUAGUAGAAUGUCUUCUCACUUCUGGACAUUCGCUGGAACCAAAGGAUGAUGAUGGUUACACACCAUUACAUGAUGCAGCAUAUAAUGGUCGUGUUUCCACAAUGGAAUAUCUUCUCACUUCUGGACAUUCGUUGGAACCAAGGAAUAAUGUAAGUCAGAUUAUCCCUGAUGCAUGCUCCUUUUUAUGAGCAGAAAGAAGAAUUACGCAGUUGAAUACUUUUUUGCGAGUAAACUUCCGUGCCUUCUCUUCAUGUUGUGACGUACCUUCUCCCGUACAUUGUCUCCUUCCGCAUCAACAAGGUAAUAU